UACACUCUAAAAAAUCCGGGGUUAUUUUUUCUACCCAAAUGUGGGGUUAAGCCAUUUGGGUAAUUUUUUUGGGUUAUUUUCGCAGUCUUGGGUAGUUUUUUGGGUAGUUUUAUGUAACCCCACCACUGGGUUAUUUUCUGGGUAAUUUUCACUGAGAGUGGAAUCAAUACACCCCCUCCCCCUCCCGGACUCAACAACCCAGCUCAUUGGGUCAAAUCAACUCGGCGCAGAUUCAGGUGCAGCACAGGCUGACUGAAUUUGAGGUGGAUGCAACGCACACUAAUAUUUGGAGAAAUAAGGUUCGUAUCAACAUAUUUAUUCAUAUAACAUAUUUUUUAAACCUAUUUAUACACGUAUCAUAAUAUCGAGGGCUAUAUAAAGACGUAAGUGCCAUUACAUUCAGUUUUACAUGGCAUUAAAUACGCCGCCAGCUUCGUUCGUUUAGGUUGGCUUGUUUGAUAGGCCCGUUGGAUAGUAAAUACGUUUUCUACUGUUUUUGUUUAAUGUUUUAAACGUCCCCUUUGGACAAAGCCUUAAGUUUCUUCUUAACUAACGUUAUAUGACGACAUUUACGUUACUUCAAAGCCCAGUUAACUGUUAACUUAAAACGAGAUUAAUGUAAGUUAAAGUAAAUGCAUUCUUUGCAUUUUCAGAUUAUUAAAAUGAGAUUUUUGACAAUUACAGCCCGUAACAAAUCUCUGGUAAUUAAUUUCUGAAAACCAUUUUUUGUACACGAACAGUUAAAGCAGCCCAUCCCCCGCUGUACAGCAGUGCUGCUGCUGGGUCAAAACAACCCCUUUCAUGGAUCAUCUGUCGCGGGGAUUUUGGAUCGUCAGAAGGAGAAAUACAGCAGGACUUUACAAGCAGACAUUCUUCAGCGGUUCUUUUCUGGUGAAAUAAAGGGGUGGCGAAUGUCGGUCGUGGAGAGCCGCAGUCCUGCAGAGUUUAGCUCCAGCUCUAAUCAAACACACCUGAACAGGUGGUCUGAGUUUCCAUGAGUUUCCUAGGCUAACUACCCCAGGCAUGAUUGCACAAGACUUUUACACAUUACACCAGGAUGCAGCUCCAAAACUCUUCGAGAAAUGGCUCCCUUGAUAUACCGAUAGGAUCUUGCAUUUUUCUAAACCAGAAGCAAAGCUUCCAUGUUCAGUUGAGGAGAUGACACAAGAUGCAAAGGGAUAUCUUGCAUUAAAGCUGCUCCCUGUUUUGCUUCCACCUCCACCCUUCAAAACUGCCCGAAAAAGUCCGGCCCAGCAUUGAUGAUGGCAAAAAAGCUUUCAUCGAUAUUCAGCCUGUUGGAACAAAUAUGAUGGAGUACCUCCAGCAGGCUGAAGCAUCAGGACUUUACCCUUAUUUCCUGUCACUUGAAAAUGGACACAUGAGUCCCAGGCAUUCGUCAUCCUUGGAGGAGAAACUUUGGACAAGGCACUUUGAUUGGGGUAGUAGAAGCACUACAUUCUUGCAAGUAAAUGACAAGAGGUUUUUUGAAUAGACUGGGUUUCAGGUACAAGAGUUAUCAUUUUAGGGUUUUUUUACAGACUUAAAGGUGCUCUAAGCGAAUCUGUGUGACGUUACUUUUUGUUGAUGUUUGAACUGUUUUCAAACAAACAGAGAGUAGCUAACUCCUUCCCUCCCUUCCGUGCUUUCAUGAACGCGCCCAACCCUCACCCCCAAAUGCUUCUUGUCGUUAAUUGGCUGGAACACUUUGUUAUCCUUUCUGGUAGUAGGUUUGGCCACUUUAUUUUUAUUGCAGUUUGUGGAGCCUAGGCUGUCUAAAGAGAUCAAGUUUUUUACAGUUUGAUCAGCGGACAGGCAGCAAGCAGAUAGUGAGAUGUUUGCUGUAUGUAACAAAAAAUGUUUUAUGGUCUAAAACGCGUGAAUUAGAGCACCUUUAAGGAAGAGUAUUACUUGAUGAAUAUUAAUGACAUGUUUAUGAAAUGUUACACUGGCAAAAUGCUGUA